AGAGCGAACGCUGGCGGCAGGCCUAACACAUGCAAGUCGAACGAACUCUUCGGAGUUAGUGGCGGACGGGUGAGUAACACGUGGGAACGUGCCUUUAGGUUCGGAAUAACUCAGGGAAACUUGUGCUAAUACCGAAUGUGCCCUUCGGGGGAAAGAUUUAUCGCCUUUAGAGCGGCCCGCGUCUGAUUAGCUUGUUGGUGGGGUAAUGGCCCACCAAGGCUACGAUCAGUAGCUGGUCUGAGAGGAUGACCAGCCACAUUGGGACUGAGACACGGACCCAAACUCCUACGGGAGGCAGCAGGUGGGGAAUCGUUGCGCAAGUGGGGACGAAAGCC
rnacentral:rRNA from 1 species